rnacentral:rRNA from 1 species
GUAGGCGGUUUGUCGCGUCUGCUGUGAAAUCCGGAGGCUCAACCUCCGGCCUGCAGUGGGUACGGGCAGACUAGAGUGCGGUAGGGGAGAUUGGAAUUCCUGGUGUAGCGGUGGAAUGCGCAGAUAUCAGGAGGAACACCGAUGGCGAAGGCAGAUCUCUGGGCCGUAACUGACGCUGAGGAGCGAAAGGGUGGGGAGCAAACAGGCUUAGAUACCCUGGUAGUCCACCCCGUAAACGUUGGGAACUAGUUGUGGGGUCCAUUCCACGGAUUCCGUGACGCAGCUAACGCAUUAAGUUCCCCGCCUGGGGAGUACGGCCGCAAGGCUAAAACUCAAAGGAAUUGACGGGGACCCGCACAAGCGGCGGAGCAUGCGGAUUAAUUCGAUGCAACGCGAAGAACCUUACCAAGGCUUGACAUAUACGAGAACGGGCCAGAAAUGGUCAACUCUUUGGACACUCGUAAACAGGUGGUGCAUGGUUGUCGUCAGCUCGUGUCGUGAGAUGUUGGGUUAAGUCCCGCAACGAGCGCAACCCUCGUUCUAUGUUGCCAGCACGUAAUGGUGGGAACUCAUGGGAUACUGCCGGGGUCAACUCGGAGGAAGGUGGGGAUGACGUCAAAUCAUCAUGCCCCUUAUGUCUUGGGCUUCACGCAUGCUACAAUGGCCGGUACAAAGGGCUGCAAUACCGCGAGGUGGAGCGAAUCCCAAAAAGCCGGUCCCAG